CCCUUUUCCCAACCAAGCAUAGGUAGAAGCCCUCUUUUUCUGGCUUGUAGAUAUUUGCCACAAAAAUUUUAGUGAUUCAUAAACUACCACACCGUCUUUAAUCAUCUACUAACCGACUCAAAUUUCCAAUAAGAAGAAUACAACCUAUCAAUCUCCCAAUCAGAUGAAGUUCCUCUCUCUCACCCCAAGUACACAACCAGUGUCUCUCUGGAACGCGUACAUGGAUAACAUCAUCAAUUUCUUCUCUAAUACUUCACCACUGCUUCUCCGCUUCUCUAUGCUUCGUGCCUUUGAGCCUAUGUGCCGCUCAGGAGGGAAGAGUCCCCUUCUAUUUUCUAGCACCACAUGAGCUGACGGCAGUGUACGUUCCACCGCCUCACCCUAUUCAGGACCUUAUUUGCCCUAGCAAUUUCCCUAUCUUUGACGCCCUCCUCCAUAUUGUGGCUCUCCAAACCAUCGUACAGCUCCGCCUCUGCCAUUAUCACCUCGUACAGAUUCCAUCAACGACCGCCUCCUUCCAGUGUCAACGUCUUCACACCUCCACUUCAGCAUUGCCAGCGUUGACUCAUCAACCAUCGUCCGUGUCGGCUUUGCAUCCUCAGCCCUUCACCAUAUGACCCACCACCUCAGUCGUCUGCUUCUUCACCCUCCGAUGAAUCCUCUAUUUUUCCAUAUAUCAUCGGUUUCCCAAAAAUCCGUUACCAACGUUGAUGGCUUUCUCUUUUUCACUGCUCUUUGAACAUACUAUGGCUUCCUCUUUAACUCUAAAUUUGAAGAGCAGUCAUGUCGCCCACCACCAUCCUUUCCCACCUCUAACAUGGCCUACCUAUGCUAAUACUACCGUACUUGAAACCCAAUGCCGGAAGGAAUCUCUCUAUCACAACAACAAAAAGACGGAGACUGGAAUGGGAGAAAGAGAAAGAGAAACCUGGAAAUCGAGUUUAGGUAGCCACACCUACUUGGUCAUCUUCUCAAUGUUUCGUAAACCAAUUUGUUGUUUAAGUAAGGUUGCCGUUCUUCAACUGAAAAUACGUUCUGAUAAUAAGAAAAGCUUCGGUCAAAUUUGGUGACAUACUAGAUGACUUGCAUGGUAACCUUGAUGACCAGGAGCAAAGUAUAGAUGCAAUUUUGCAACAACUACAUGAGGUGAAUUUGGAUGAUGUUGAAUACCCGGAAAAAUAACAGGUGACCAACUGGUAAAUGCAUCGGGCGUUCAUACAAGUUACACUGUUCAACACUAUCAGCAUCUUUUGUUGGUUUCACAACAGGUGGCUUUUUAUUUGAUUCACAUAAUACGCUUUAAAUUGGUAUUAAAUAUUAGCGAUUUAGCGAUUACGAUUAACGUAUUUUUGUAAAACAGCAACUACACACCUGGACCCAUUUGUGCUCAUCCAGAUUUGUUCAGACAGAGUUAUUAAGGUUACCAAAGUUAUUUCAUUCGGCUUAGUUGAAGUAUAUAGUUUAACAUACUACCUACAUCUACUUGGAUACUCGUGAUUUCCUUUCUUAA